UUCGAGGCCAGAUCCGGCCCGCCCAGGCCCGAGUGCUGUAGCCGCCCGUAAGCCGCCACCACCAGCGCCCGACCCCGAGCUCCUCCUCCCGUGCGCCUCCUCCCCUGCCUCCCUAGCGCGUCGUCCGGCGACCGGCGCCGUCGUCGGCGACCACCCAGGUCACGCCGCCGCUCCCCUGCCUUCUCUCUUUCCCCCCUCUCUCUCUCUAAUCUCCUUUUAUCUCCUUCUCUCCAGGAGCUCAGCGCCAGGGCCAUGGAUGCCCAGUCCUCGAGCUCGAGGUUCGAACGCCGCCACGUGACCUCCACCGGCCAGAUCCGGCGCCUCCCUCCGGGAUCUGCGCGCCCUCCACCUCCUCUACCCGAUCCGGGGCCGCCCAACCCGCCAUGGCCUCCACCAUGGAGCUCCUGUAGCUCGUCCCCUGCCUCCUGUUCCUGUGCUCGAGGGAGACGCGCCUCCAGCGCAGUGAGCACAAGGCCCAGCCGUGCCAAGGCCUACCCCGACCACCUCUGCGUCCAGCCGGCAUACCCUACGUGAUGCUCGACCCGGUGCGCCAGCCGCCAACCGACGCCAGAUCGCAGCACCCUUCACCACCGUUCCACCUCAGCUCCUCCUCUCAUCCGUGCCCCCGAGCUCCUCGCUAUGCGCCGCCCUGGAGGGCACGCGCUCGCCAGCCGGUCGUCGUUGCACUCGCAGGCGACCUCGCCGUCCCCUCUGCACUGCCCUCCACCUCAACUGAUGAUUUAGCUGGUUAUAGCUUGUGGAUGUUCUCUGUUGUUUUUUGCACACAAGGUGUUUGUGUGUUUGUCCGAGCCAAUGUUCAUGAGCUUUAUCUUUGCUAUAAAUGACAUGGCUGAGAAAGUCCCUUCAAUGAAAGGAGGAGUAUAGUCUUGGCCAUGGCUGGGAAGGAAGGAGAACAUGUAAAUUGAGGAUUUUUCAGAGAGAUCGGGACUGCUUGAUUUAUCAGUGGACUGGUGUGCUGGUUGAUUAGGAUCUUUCAGAGAGAUCAUGGUUGCUUGAUUAAUCAGAGAGAAACUGGAUCAGUACUUGGGAGUUGGGACUGGUGUGCUACGGUUGCUUGAUUAAUCAGAGAGAAACUUAUCAUAAUUUAUGAUUUCCUUUUCUUGAUUUGGAGCAAGUGUCUUUGCUGGAGUCAGCGUCCUUGUGGUUGAUCUCAUAUACAUGAGGAUUACCCGAGUCAGCUCCUUGUGGUUGAUCUCAUAUACAUGAGGAUUAUCCAAUUAUUAAAGCACAUACAUUGGAGUUGAAAUAUAGGCGGGUUGUGUACACGGGGUACAUGUACGUGAUGUAAACAAAACCUAUAUAACUCAGGGAAUCGGUACUACAAGAGAGCUUCAAGCUGACGGCCAAUAGAAAUGGAAGACAUGACUUGAUGGAGAAAUCAGGUGCAUAUGAACAACAUAUUGUCUUCCAAUUUUUUUCAUCAUUCAGUAGGACAAUUUCCUAAUUCUGUAUGAAAAGGUUAUUAGUAUGGAUAUAUAUUUAUCGAAUUUAAUUAGCAUAUAUGAGGUUCUUUAUUCAGCCCCCCUUUUGCUCAUGACUACAUAAUUAUUCGGACUUGUAUUCUAGAUAGAUGCUUUUCUAUGAACCUCAUAAAAAAUGUAAUAUGCCUUAGAUCCUAAUUGACUAUUUAUACAUCGGAUAAUUUCAGCUUGCUGUGUCCCAAGAUACCUAUUUUUUUUAACCAAAAACAGGUGAAGUCCUAACAAUCUAUACUCCUGCAUUGUAUCUUCAAAUGUAUAUUGCUUCUGUAGGAUUCGAACAGAUGGUAGUUUGCAGACUGAUGAGUUGGUUCCAGUAACAUCACAUGUCAAGGAUACCUCUCUCCACUUAACAAUCAAUUUUUUUUAAUGAUGAUGUUCAGAGAAGGAACAUACAUUCUGCUCUCUUGUUCUUCAGCUUGGGGUGUCGGCAGCUACCUAUUACUACUAGGGAGUCUUAUUUCGGACGGAAAGAAAAUCCAAUAUUGGUUUUUAUCCAUUUGUAUGCCUGCGUUAGCCUUAUGAAGCACAAAGGAUGUCCCAGUGAUCAGUCACGGAUGAUACUUGGUGUAUUCUUACUAGGCUAAUGGGCAAAUACUCGAAUAACUGAAUCACCUGCAAUCUUUCUUUUAUUGUAACGGCGGUGUUAUAUCUGCAACAACAGUUUGUAAUUUUUUAUCUAUAAUUGUGAAUAUACAUCUUGGUAGCUAUAAUUGAUCAA